CUUCAGCAAGUUGUGGAUUUAGGUGAAAAGCAUGGUUAUAAUUAGAGCGACAGCCUGAAAGCUCCACCAGCUAAGAUGAGCACAGCUGGAUCUUCCCACUGCAUGCACAGGAGUCCAGGAGGCUGCUCCAGCCUUGAAAAUGAUCCUUCUUAAAAGGAUUUUCUCCUUCCUCAAGGGAAAGAAAACCCAUUGAUAUAAAACCUCACUUCCCUUCCGGCUUUCCCUGCUAAAUGCCACUCCAGUGGAGGCUGAGUGUUGAUAAAUACAGGAGAAAGAAAAAAUCAGUAAGCUGAGCCUGGUCACAUUGACCCUUGUGAUAUAGUUUUAUUUUUAACCUCGAAACACUUGAACUAUUCCUGUUGAAGUUUUCUCUCCUUUCUCUGCCUCCUCAACACAACUCUGCUCUGGGCAGUUGAUACACCUUCAGCCGCUUCCUGCAAGCUGCUUGCUCACAAUCUGGGACGCAGGUGCAGCAGAUGCUGACUCAGCACAUGCUGUUAAGGCUCUGUCCUAUUUGUCCUUGGUACCAUCUAAGUUGCCCACAUGCCCUUGACCACCACUGCACAGGUAGCUCAAUGUGACACUGGUUUCUACAGAAUCUCUCAAUAAAACAUCAAGGUAAAGAGUAUGGGGGCCAAAAAGGGGAAGAGACUUGGGGGAACUCACAUUUUUAGAGGAGUAAGAGAUAUCACUAAAUUUAGGAAAAUCAGACAAACCCACAGAGGAUAAGGAUCCAGUCUCUGCACCAAAACAGAGGUGAGUAGAACAGGGCAUCAUAUCUCCCAAGACAACCAAUAGUAUAUCUAAUGCGAUCAAUUUGGGGCAACAGCAAUUGGCUUCAAAUAAGGUGAUCAAUUAGCUGAGAGGCAUGCUAGGACCUGAGACUUACAGUGAUAAAACCAGGAGAGCCCCAGGCAAACCAGGGCCAUUUGUCAUUGUACUUACCCCGCAAUAAUUAGACUAUCAAGGAUUUUGGACUGUCCUUUAUCCCAGUGAGAAAAAUUUCCCCCAGAUAUACAACAAAAUGUUUAUAUAUGAUUUUUUAUGUCCUUAGGCUGUAUUUACCUUUCUAUAUAUACCUGUAAAAUUUCUCCAGAGUCCUCUCUACUCGCUGUGUCAUUUUGCUCAAUACAUGUCCUCUCUCAAAGUCACUUAUUUGGUGUAGUUCCAGAGCCUGCCAGAAGAUCUUUAAAUAGCAGCAUUAAAAAAAACAGUAGCAUCUUUGUUAUCUGCAUGCUUUGUUUUUUCUUUUCUCUUAAAGGGACAUUUUCAAAUACUGUAUUUUGCUGUGCGCCCACGUUUUGUGUACAUUAUACAGGGGAUUAUUAUAUCUAUGGUAUGUAAUCAUUAUACCCAGGUAUAAUGCACAUCCUUAUUUUUCCCUCAGGAAUUUGGGCAAAAAAGUGCACAUUAUACAUGGCAAAAUAUGGUAACUUCAAAUAGAUAGAGAGCAAUAAGUCUCCACCACAAUUGGUUCCUGCUUCAAUAACACUGUUCUUAAGGAUCAUACUUUAUAGCGCUGAAGGAUAAGAAAUGAGUGCGCUUCAAGCUCAUCACCACUGCCACCAGACAAAUCUCUGCUACUGGGGCAGGGUUCUCACUACACAUGUGUAACAUAGAAGUAGCCACACCUGCUUUUCCGUUCCCAGAGACUGGGAUUAACUUUGUGACAGAACCAGGCAGGCAUAUACAAAGUUGGACAUUUCUCGUGCUGGUAGCUUUUUUCACACAGCCUUAUUCCAUUUGUGAUCUGCCUCUUCUUUGCUGCCGAAAAACCAGUAGGGGACUCUGACUCAUCCAGACUCCAUCUUUAUUAAUUCAUAUAUUUUAUGAAUAGAAAACAGAUGGUGAUGCUUUCCCAGCCAGAGCACAGGACCUGCCAACACUGGAGUGCUUAAUGGCUUUCCCUUCCGCUCCCAGCAAACACUGCAUUUAGAAUGGCCAAGGGUCCCACAGCACAGCUGAAGUGCCACAUUUGUUCUAGCAAGAACUUUACAUUGUCAUCAUUGUUCUUAACUUCAUGGUAGCAUCUGAGGCUGUGGCUCACCCUUUCUUUUUUUACAUCUGGGUCACAUAGUGUUGACUCUUUUAACUCUCUGGUCUCUCUUUCUCAGGCCCUGUUUCUUCCUAUUG